UACUCAUGAAAAGGCUGUGUCAACUUAGUUUCAAUGAACUUAUUAAUCUAGCAUUAAUUACAGCAACCAAAUAAAAAUUUGUAUAGAUACAGUUGUCACAGUCUUAGUAUUCUCAUCUGUACUUAUACGUACUCAUUUGUAUUCAUACAAAUAUUCUUUGAUAUCUAUAAAUAAUGCUUGAUUAAUAAGUCCAUGGAAACCAAGAUCUGGGCACAAUUUGAUGAUGAACAUAGUUUGAUACUAUGCUUUAGAGAGAAUACAAAUAUUACUUAUGGACAGGCUGUAUCAAGCCUCUCAAGAUUGGUUUCAAUGGACUUGUUAGUCAAGCAUCAGUCACAACUAUCAAAGAAGAUUUGUACAUACACUAUUAUCUCAGUUGAAUUUUAAAAUACAAAUGUAUGCCUAGGCCAUUUUUCUACAUACUUAUUCUAUUUUGUCAUAUAGAUUGCAAAAUAUAAUAAGUAUAUAGUGAGGAUUGGAAGCAAUUGCAUUUUAAUAUAUAUCAGUGUCUUUCAGACAAUUACAAAUAAUACAGUGACAAUUGCAGAUAUUUUUUGAUAACUCUGACUGAUGUUUGAUUAACAAGUCUAUUAAAAUCAAGCUUGUAUAGCUUUAUAGUUAGUAGAUUUUGAAUUGAUGGCCUUGUACUGUAUAUAAAAAUACUUAUAACAAAGUUGUGUUCCAACACUUCGCUUUGACAGAUUUGUUAUAUUGAGCAUUAAUUACAACUAUACAAAAAUGUUUAUGGACAUAUACUAUUGCCACUGUCUCCAUUGAGAUACGUAGGAAAACAAUUGCUGUUCUAAGAUGCACUUUUACAAUCCACAUAAAUAUUCUAUCAUAGUUGUGAUUGAAGAUCUAUUAACAAGUUUAUUGAAACCAAGUGUUUCACAAAGCUUCUUUGUAAGUAUAUUCAUCGCAUCUUGUUCAAAGCCAUGUGUUGUCAAAUUAUAUACUUAUUAUCAAGUUGUGUCCAACACUUUAUUUCAAUGGAAUUAUUAAUCGAUCAUUAAUAUUACAGCUAUUAAAGAAUAUUAGUAUGGAUACAGUUUACACUGUCUCAUUUGAAAUAAUUGUUUAUGUCUACAUGUUAAAAGUAGUAUAUAUUUAAUUCAUAUCACAACUAAGACAGUAAACUGUAUCUAUACAAAUUUUAUUUGAUUGUUAUAAUUAAUGCUUGAUUAAUAUAAGUCUACUGAAAUUAACUUGACAUAGCUUCUUCAUAAGAAUUUGUCAACUACAUUCCUUCAGACAUCAAAUUAUGGUAUUAGGCCGGUUAAAAAAUUCCAAGCUGAAUUUCCACAUGGAUAUUAAAGUGGAAUCAAGGAGUUUGCCUAUAUACCAGUAUGUAUUAAUACUUCACCUACAGUACUACUUUUUAAACCUCCAUAACGUUGGCUCAAACUGCCUAUUGAAUAUCAAAGUGUUAAUAAGUGAUUGGAAUUACAUUAUCAUGGUAUAUUAUGGAGAAAUGGUAUAAUAACAUAUAAUCUUUUCAAUUACAAUAUAAGUAGUCAUUUACAUUAUUGUAGAAAUAUUUAUAUGAAAAGAUUACAAAAGAAGCAAUGGCUCAAAAAAAUUAUUCCUGAAAAAAACAUUUUAGAUAUCGAAACUGAAAUGAGAUGCCCGCGAUUGGAAGAUUUAAGUGUUAAAUUUAAAUCAUCAUGCAUAUAUCAUAGUUAAAAUCGAGAGAAUAUAGCAUGUGCUGCGGUAAAUACACAAAGGAUAUACGAUUGGGUGAUGGAAAGACAAAAACAAGUAAAAUCAA